UAUAUCAUCUGAAGUCAAUAAUUCUUCAUUACACUUCAGAUCUUCUCAAAGUCUCUGAAAUCUCUUAGAGAAGGAUCAGAAAAGGAAGAAAUGGCAGGUGCCAAGCUAAUGGCAUCUCUAAUGGCAAGUGAAGAGGUCAUUGUCGACAGUAUUGCCAGAGGACUACUAGAGGCGACAACAGUACUUUCUAGUGUAUCAUCUUCUGAUCCAUCACUACACGUAUCUCAAGUGUCCAAAAAAUUGCUUGCAUGUUUAACUUCUCCAUAGACUAUCUUUUACAUUUUUCCAGUUGCUACAUAUAUUUUUUUUUUGUUGUUGAUAUUUGAAGUACUCGUAUAAAUGUAUAUAAUUAAUAAUUAAUGUGUCAUCAAAGAUAUCUGAAAAUUCCUGUUGUCUACUUGCUAGUAAUCUGUCUACCAACUCUGAUUUUUAGAUCUUCACGUGUGGUAGAUGGAUCAUGGAAGAGCACGACUGGACGUGCAGGGCUGGCGUGCGUAUGUUUCGAUGAACAACAAAACGAAGUAUAUCAGCAAGCUUGCAAAACGCAGCUUUCCUCACCUUUACUUGCUGAAGCAAAGGCAGUUGUAAUGGCAAUUCAAUGGGCGUUGCAGACAGGAAUCACAUACCUAUCUCUAUUCACAGACAGGUUGUUGAGCCUGCGCAUAGACUAGCAAAAUCUGUUGAACUCUUUAUUAGCUAAUUGGUAUAUAUAAAUGUUUUUUGUUGUUCUCAAAAAAUAAAAAAAGAAAAAAUAUAUAUAUUUGUGAUUUAUAUGCA